rnacentral:rRNA from 1 species
UGCCAGCCGCCGCGGUAAUACGAAGGUCCCAAGCGUUGUCCGGAAUCAUUGGGCGUAAAGCGCACGUAGGCGGGGUCGUAUGUCGAUUGUGAAAGCCCAGGGCUCAACCUUGGAAUUGCAGUCGAAACUGCGACUCUUGAAUACUUGAGAGGGUGGGGGAAUUCCUGGUGGAGCAGUGAAAUGCGUAGAUAUCAGGAGGAACAUCGGUGGCGAAGGCGCCUACCUGGCAGUGUAUUGACGCUGAGGUACGAAAGUGUGGGGAGCAAACAGGAUUAGAUA